UACGUAGGGUGCAAGCGUUGUCCGGAAUUACUGGGUUUAAAGGGUACGUAGGUGGGCGUCUAAGUCUGGAGUGAAAGUUUGAGGCUCAACCUCGAAAGUGCUUUGGAUACUGGGCGUCUAGAAUUAGAUAUAGGUAGCUGGAAUUUGUGGUGUAGCGGUGAAAUGCAUAGAUACCACGAGGAACACCAAUUGCGAAGGCAGGCUACUGGGUCUAUAUUGACACUGAUGUACGAAAGUGUGGGUAGCGAAC
rnacentral:rRNA from 1 species